rnacentral:tRNA from 1 species
GGAGGGGUGCCUGAGAGGCCGAAAGGGAUGGUUUCGAAAACCAUUGUAGCUAUUGCUACCGUGAGUUCGAAUCUCACCCCCUCCGCCA